GAUGAACGCUGGCGGCGUGCCUAAUACAUGCAAGUCGAGCGAACAGACGAGGAGCUUGCUCCCCUGACGUUAGCGGCGGACGGGUGAGUAACACGUGGAUCACCUUCCUAUAAUACUGGGAUAACUUCGGGAAACAGGAGCUAAUACCGGAUAAUAUAUUGAACCGCAUGGUUCAAUAGUGCAUGACGGUUUUGCUGUCUCUUAUAGACGGAUCCGCGCCGCAUUAGCUAGUUGGUAAGGUAACGGCUUACCAAGGCAACGAUGCGUAGCCGACCUGAGAGGGUGAUCGGCCACACUGGAACUGAGACACGGUCCAGACUCCUACGGGAGGCAGCAGUAGGGAAUCUUCCGCAAUGGGCGAAAGCCUGACGGAGCAACGCCGCGUGAGUGAUGAAGGUCUUCGGAUCGUAAAACUCUGUUAUUAGGGAAGAACAAAUGUGUAAGUAACUAUGCACGUCUUGACGGUACCUAAUCAGAAAGCCACGGCUAACUACGUG
rnacentral:rRNA from 1 species